AAAAAAAANAUACGACAUGUCGUCAUUUAGUAGAUGAAUCUAGAUUCAGGGCGGAAUCAAGGCACUGAGUCGAUCCUCUCAUCCUCCACCUCGCUCUGCCUUUCCUUUCCAAUUCCGUCGAAGUGAACUUCAGUUUCAACAAUUCCACUUGAUUGCAGAGAAGAAACACAUGGGGAGAGAGGUCUCAGAGAGUUGCGUUGACAGUCUAUUGACGGAAAUGGUUUCCACUUAUUGUAAUCGGUUCUACGCCAAUAAGCCGGAGCUUGCCGCCCGUCGCAUCGAGGCAAUCGGCUAUCAGGUCGGCCAUCAGCUCUCCGAACGGUAUACGAUGGAGCGACCUCGGUUCACUGAUCAUCUCGAAGCAAUCAAAUUUAUCUGCAAGGACUUCUGGUCUGAACUCUUCAAAAAGCAGAUAGACAACUUGAAAACAAAUCAUAGAGGCACCUUUGUUUUGCAAGAUAAUCGAUUCCGCUGGCUUACACGCAUGUCGGUUGAUCCUCCUCAAGGUGAAUCACAGGAUAAUUCUGCAGAUGGUGAAAACAAGGUAGCUCAGGCAACAAGCAUGCAUCUAUAUUUCCCAUGUGGAAUCAUAAGGGGCGCUCUCUCAAAUCUGGGAAUUCCUUGUGCGGUUUCUGCUGAUAUUUCAAAUCUCCCAGCAUGUUCAUUUGUUGUUCGCAUAAAGGUUUGAUGCCUGUGUGGGACAAUGAAGAUGCGCUACGUCCUCAACGCCGCCUCCAAUUGAGAUAAUGCACCAAAAAUGAAGAUUUCGGGAGAGAUUUGCAGGUUUUGGCAGAGAUUUGCAAAUUAUUAUUAGAAAUCAUUGGAUGAAGUAUUUUCAUAGUUUUUUUUUCCUCAUAUAGCUAAUGGUACAACCAUAGAAGGUGUCUAUGGCAUUGUGUAGCCUCUAAAAAUAAGUUCUCUAAUUUAUUUUAGAUAUAAACCGACAGCCUUGGCCUUGGUUCAUAUUAGCUAGUCACUAGAAAUCACUUAUUAAAUUGGGCAAAUAGUCGACUAGAUAUAAGCAGAACCAAAAUUCAAAAUAUACUUGAUACUUCGAUAGUUCUGGCAUUGACGACAAAAUUUAUGUAAUAACCUCCGUGACAUGAAUUAGUAGUGGAAAUAAGUACCUUUCAGAAAGGGUCAUGAAUUGAAGA